AAAGGCAAUAAUAUGGUUUGUUUUUCACAUUUAGGUGAAACAUCAAGGACCCUUACACUGCAUUAAAAAUUGCUAGAUGCACCAGAGUUUCUAUUUAACUCUCAGAUUAAUGCUUUUAGUUGUCCUCUAAAUUAAUUAUCAAACCAUGAUAUCUCUACUGUUAGUAAACUCCACUCAAUUUUUAAAUCAAACUAUACCUCAGUCUACACUGGGCAUAUUAAUGAGUUUCUCAUUACAAAGGGAUUUAUCAGGCCCAUUAGUAUGUAUAAAAAAAUGUGCUUCACCACAAUACUUGGGCUGAAAAAAUCUUAGGUUUUUUUAAUUUAUUAUCAUGAAAAGCACCAAAUGCUAAAAUGGCUAUUUUUAGAUGGUAAGACAAAAGUCAAUGGCAACAACGCUUGCAUUAUCUUUGCACUAAAAAAGAGAUGAGCAAGAGAUAAAUUUUCUUUUUGUUUACCAAGAAAAAGAUGUGGGGAAAUUAUUAUGGAUUAAUUAAUUUAGUGUGGACAGAUGAGCAAGAAAUGAAAUGGCAAAUGAAAUAAAAGCUGCUUUGAAAGAUGUUGGUGUGCCUAUUCUUAAAGAAAAUAUAUUGUUUACAACAGCAAAUAAUCUAAGAAUCUGUGAGAUUACCCAUAGCCUAUUAGAAUAAUUAUGGAAUUAUGGAUGAUGCUGAGAUUAUAUAAUUAUUCUUUAAUUGUGAUACUAUUUUACAUUUCCUUAAAUGUAUUUUAAUUUUAUUUGAUUUGAUUUGCUGAUGUCUAAGUGAUGAUUGUAAAUAUGCUAUUUUAUUUCCAAAAAAAACAACAACAAACAUUUGUUGCAAUAAAAAAAUCUAUUUUGAUUAAUAAUCAACCCAUAAAAUAGAAUAUCUAGAUAUUUUUCUUAUAUAAAAUCAUGCAUUAGGUAUUAAUAUUUAGAAUGCAUCUAUUCUUUUCAUAAUAUUAAUUAUGUUCUUCAUUAACUUGUGUUGCAGAUUUGAUAUAGAUUUAAAAAUUAUUUACUUCAUUCUUCAAAAAUUACUUAAAAUCAAAGCAUUACUUUUCAAUUUUGUAAAUAAUAUUUUCAGCAUAAUAAUUAAUUCAUACUUUAAAAGUAUAGAUACCAGACACUUAAAUAAAAAAAAAAUUCUCUUUCAAGAUUUAAAUCUUUCAAAAUGAAUUUUUAACAAACAUAAGUACUUUUCAAUUACAAAUAGUGUUUUACUAUAUAUUCAUUAAGAGUACACUUAUAUUUCUUUAAAUAAUAAUUAUUAAUCCUAUCAAUACAUUCAAAAUUGAUUCAAUGUUACAUGCAAUAAAGAGAAACUCAAAACAAAAUUAGAAAAAAAUUAGAUAAAUUGGCAGCACAAACAAAAAAAUACUCUUGACCUAUUUCCCAGUUUGAUUCAACUUCCGGUAGUGAACAGAAAUGACAUGGAUCUAAAAAAUCAAGACUUUCCCCCUCUCAAAUAAAAAUUAAUAUCUCCCCUUCCACUUGUCAUACAGUGAUAAAUUUAGUAUGGUUGGAAAUAUUUUUUCAAGCCCUAUUCAACCAUAUAGGUUUUAUUAGUAUAUUGCGAAUCAAAAAUUAGCGCUAUAAUGACACCCAUUACAACAAUGACAUUUGAUUAUGGAGGAACUGCUUAAACCAGGACGUUGGAAGUCAUAACUGGUUGCAGCAGUCAAUUUUGCUCAUGGUCCUGCUCUGGCUCAGCUACAUAAAGUUCAGGCUGCCUGACAUCUGCAAAGAGGGUGCAGCUUCAGUGAAUAAAACUUUCACCCCUGGAACGUUUUGUGCUAUGCCUGUGAAGGGGAAAGGUCACCAACACAAUCUCAGCCAAUCAGCAAGAGAUGUGCGGAAGAAUAACGGCUGUCGUUCUCCAAACAAAAAAAAAUGUUCAUCAAUAUCACAGUUCCUCUCUAACGUUGAGGCCAGCAUUCACCAGAACUCAAACCCUUAACCUUUGAACUGGAGCUGAUCACCUAACUACUUAAUCACACUGUCAUUAGAGCCAGUGUACAAUUUUAUUCUAGCCUAAUUAUAUUUUAUAUCUAUGUCUUUUUCUGUUGUUUUUUUUUCUGCUUAAUAGUUUAAUUAC